GAUGAACGCUAGCUACAGGCUUAACACAUGCAAGUCGAGGGGAAACGAUAGAGAAAGCUUGCUUUUUCUAGGCGUCGACCGGCGCACGGGUGAGUAACGCGUAUCCAACCUGCCCAUCACUUGGGGAUAACCUUGCGAAAGUAAGACUAAUACCCAAUGAUAUCUCUAGAAGACAUCUGAAGGAGGUUAAAGAAUUAUCGGUGAUGGAUGGGGAUGCGUCUGAUUAGCUUGUUGGCGGGGCAACGGCCCACCAAGGCGACGAUCAGUAGGGGUUCUGAGAGGAAGGUCCCCCACAUUGGAACUGAGACACGGUCCAAACUCCUACGGGAGGCAGCAGUGAGGAAUAUUGGUCAAUGGACGAGAGUCUGAACCAGCCAAGUAGCGUGCAGGAUGACGGCCCUAUGGGUUGUAAACUGCUUUUAUAAGGGAAUAAAGUGAGUCUCGUGAGACUUUUUGCAUGUACCUUAUGAAUAAGGACCGGCUAAUUCCGUGCCAGCCGCCGCCGUAA
rnacentral:rRNA from 1 species